AUAUAUUCUUAUUGUUUUUUCUUUCACCAAAAUAAUAAUAAUAUAAAUCAAAAUCAAAUAUACAUACAUAUUAGUAUAUACGCCUAUGCAAAAUUGCAUUGCCAUAUUGAUAAAAAAAUUAGCGCGCAAACUUGUUUUGGAUUUGGGUCAGUGACAGUCUCAAGGCAACAGAAUUAUUCCCGUUGGUUUUCAAUUUAAAAUCAGCAUUUAUUUUUGUCAUUUGAUAUACAAGUCUGUUCGAGCCACUGUCUAUGUACAUAUGUAUGUCUGCAUAUAUAUAUGUAUGUACAUGUAUAAAUAUUUUUGCACCGCUUUGAAAAUUCAAGUCUGCUUGUUUGUAAGACUCUCUGGUUUUUUAUGACUGAGAGUCGUAGAUGGAGACUCGUCUGUAGAAACAUACACAUAAACAGUAGAUGUAUAUGUAUUUGUCUGUGUGUCAGUAUUUAUGCAUUUUAUAUGGGGGAUCUCCGUGCGCUUGCUUUGCUAGUGUAAUAAAAGGAGGCGGAGGGCGUGUGGCGCGUUAUGGGGUGGUACGUAUGUUUGUAUGUCUGUAUGUAUUUGUUAGUGCCAACGCGAAUUUCAGCUAAGUCAAGCAGUUCAUGAAGAAUCAACCUACAAUUUAAGGCUGUACGCCUGUUACCAGUCAGUACAUCUCGUUACUCAGUGUUGUCGUUGUCAUCACCGUGUGGUCUCUAAGUGAUAUCUUCCAUCACGGAAGCGGUAACGGUGCUUACUGUAAGUGAAUGAAUGUGUAAAUGUGGGUUUCUUUACUUGUUACAUUCGUUUGAUACAAUAUUAAAUGAGCAUGGAAAUGCAAUUACAUACAUACAUAUAUACAUAUGUACAUACUCACUUCUUUUGCAGACUAAUAAUUGCAAUGUUUAGUGCCGUUGUUAUAGUUGCCAUUGUUGUGACCUCUUACUUGUUUUCUUCAUCCAUAACAAACUUUCACCAUAGUGAUAACGAAAUUGUAUAUACAAGUACCUAUGUGCCUAGGUACAUAUAUACAUAGUAUAUAUAUACAUAUUUUAGUUGAAACUUCAUCCCGAAAUUUCUUUAUGAGCAUUGGAACAGAAAGGCAUCAUGUUUUAGAACACAAUCAAUUAGAAAAAAUAUAUUGAUAACUCGUCUCCAGCCGUUUUUGCUUGCCUGAAGUCCUCGGUUGCGUUCCCUUUCUGCUGCAAGUGAGAUUGGGUGGCAUUGCGCACUCUUCCAAGAUUGACAAAACUAAGAAAUUCUAUAUGAGAAGUAGAGAAAAUGACAUCCGAAUCAGUUCCUGGUAAGAAAUUUUUAGGAAAUAAAAAUAUAUUCUUCCCAAUAAUAAAUUAGAUGUCAAAGUACAUAAAAGACUGUUUAAAAUGAAAACGAAGGAGAGAGAGCUAGAGAGCUCACAAACCAAUGUGAUCGAUCGCGGCGAAUCUAGCGAUCUAGAAAAAGUAUAACAGUUUUUUAUGGAGCUAAAGACGGACACAGUAGCAUAGAUGGGAAUCGGAGAUGCAUGAAUUAGGGAGAAAAAGCAUAUUUCCUUGAAAUUACCUCUGGAAUGUUUUCUGCCGCAACAACAACAGCAUUAAUUUUAGCCAAAGAUUAUCGGAUCUUUACUAAUAAAAAAUAAAGCAUUCAGUAACAAUCCCUUGAAUUAAGAAAACUUAAAUAAAUAAAUUCUAAAAUGGCAGAAUCGGUGAAACACUUACUCUAUGCCUGUCCAGGCCUUAGAGUAGUAAGUCACCGAACAUCAUAUGAUUUUUGGGAUUCUUUAGAAUUUAUUAUGUGGCUUUUGUGAACCGUAAACUAUUUCAAAUUUUACCUCACCCUUUAAAAACCGAUGGAUUUCUUUAAGCAGCCAAAAAUUUGCAUCGAACUUUCUGAAUAAAAUUCGAAAAUAUCGGAGUGAAAAAAGAAGUUAAAUUUUUUUCUUUCAGUUUGGGUAUCAAACCCAUAAGCUACUCUGCAAAGGUCACCCACUAAGCAGAAGUAUUUGUCAUUUAAAUAAAUUAUAUAAUUUUAAAACUUUUAACUGAAUAAUUUGGUACUUUGAAUCCCGUACACAUCUAUUGAAAACCUGCAUACAUAUGUACAUACCAUAUGUGGACAUGUACAUACAAUACUUGUAAUAGUUCAUGAAUAUAUCCGGUCAUAUAGACUUCUACAUAUGAGCAUGAAUAUACGUAGGUACAAUUUUUGUUUUCAAUUGCACUUAGACUUUCCGUUGUAUAUUACAGUAUUUUCUGAGUUUCCAUUACCAUUGUAUAAGAUUAAGCAACAACAGAGCGAAUGACCAACCAAGUAAACUACACAUAUGUUUAUAUGACACAAGCAUACGAACAAAUAAGUAUAAAAAUCAUUAUGUAUGAGCUUUUGUGGUAUUUUUAUUUUUUUUAUUUAUUUUUCGUAAUGGGAUCAACGGAGGCGACAGCGAUAAAAGAACCUUGCAAUAUCAAUGAAACAGUGGCGCACAUAAAAACCACCAGCCUGCAACGGCGCAACGUAUGCGAUACAAAAGUAUAUACCCCGGCACAUACCUAAGUAUACAUAUAUAUUUUUUGAUGAACGAGACACAGCGUUGACAAUGGGAAAUGUGCACGAUUGCAGAUAACAGAGCAAAGAUUAUGGGCGCGGGAUAAGAGCGAAUGUGCUUGUGAGCAAAAACAUGCAACAAACAACAAACAUAUAUACAUAUAUAUGUGGACACAUGAGACGCCAGAGCCCUAAUGUAGCCUUGCAACCACGUUGCACAAUGCGAGCGUCACGUGCAGAAACCGCCUAUGCCUACAUGAUUAUAUGUUGCUGGAACGAAAUUGUGUGGUUUGUGGUCGUCUCGGCGUUGCAAGCAACAUGCCUGCAUGCCGUAGCAAUUAUGUAUGUGUAAUCACAUACACAAGUCUACGUAUAUCAACACACAAACAAUCGACGACACCACUGGCUGGCAUAAGUGGCAUACGGUGGUAGGCUUCGGUUGCAAUUUGACUGGCGAUGCAUGUGUGUCUGUGUAUGUAUGCAUGCACAGGCGUUUGUAUGUUUGUUAACUGCUGUUACGUGUUUACUGUUAUGCGACAAUUUUCCUGUGCUGAAAACGUAUGAGGCGACGUCGGACGGAUGGGCAAUUGCUUGUCGAGUUUAAAAACUUGCCAGCGGUUUAUGAAAAAUCAGCCUUCGUCAUUUGCUGCUCGCCUGUUCACAUUCAGUACACUCGUUAUUCUGUGAUACAGACAACAACGGCUAAGCGAUAUCACUCACCACCAUUGGUGUUCACCAUAGCAACAAAGCAGAGAAACCAAAACAAUCAGUGUAGUCAACAAAUGAAUGGAGAUUGCAUUUACACAAACAUACAUACAUAUGUUUCUGCGGCUUCCAUUUUGCUUUUUGUGGUAAAUCUAAGCAAAUAGAGAAUUACUUGUAAUUUCCAGUGAAGUCAGUGUACUGUUUGCUUCUGAUAGCCGGUUUCCACUCAGUACAUCUCACUGUUUAGUAACUACCUCGAAAAGCAGCAAAACCGACUGUAAUGACGGAACCGCUGUAAUUCAGCGAAAUCAUUAAAAAAAGCUAGGUAAUGCUUUGAAAGCAAAAAACAAUAUAUGUAUUUCAAAAAUCAAAUCACAUAGAAUAACGAAGAAGACAGCUCUUGAAGUGCGCGCUAGAAAGCUACGUGCAAACGUUUGUAGAAAAAAAAGAUAUUUAAGAUAUUAUGUUUGUUUAUUCAAUAUUUGCAAAUUUUAAUUUUCUUAAAAUACUCAUAUAACUUACGUUAAAUUAAAUUAGGUUAAAAAGCCGAUAAUGUUACAAGCAACAACAAGAAUCUCACAUAGACCAAAUAUACCUUACCUGACUCAAAUAAAAUAUGUUACUUUUAAAGAACGUAACUACUUACUUGUUUUAAUACUUCGCCGACAAUCAUGUCAGCGAAAUAACGCAACACUUCAGUCGCAAAAAUAAUCUUCCAGUAAAAGUUGAGUUAAAUUUUAUACAUUCUUCCCCUACUUUUCAGCAGAUCGUGAUACUUUUGCAUACAUAUGUAUAUAUUUUCUUUACUGCGUGCUGGACGUGGUCUAUUCGGUCGAAUAUUAUCCAAUAAUGAAUGCAGGGUCUCCAGAUGGGUGAUGGUGUUGCGAAUAGUGCGAUCAAAAAAUAACAUGAUAGCUUGACAUGGCUCAUGCAUGAUCUGUCAAAAAAAAAAAAAA